rnacentral:rRNA from 1 species
UACAGAGGGUGCAAGCGUUAAUCGGAAUUACUGGGCGUAAAGCGCGCGUAGGUGGUUCGUUAAGUUGGAUGUGAAAUCCCCGGGCUCAACCUGGGAACUGCAUUCAAAACUGUCGAGCUAGAGUAUGGUAGAGGGUGGUGGAACUUCCUGUGUAGCGGUGAAAUGCGUAGAUAGAGGAAGGAACACCAGUGGCGAAGGCGACCACCUGGACUGAUACUGACACUGAGGUGCGAAAGCGUGGGGAGCAAACAGG